GGGGAAUAUUGGGCAAUGGGCGCAAGCCUGACCCAGCAACGCCGCGUAUAGGAUGAAGGUUUUCGGAUUGUAAACUAUUGUCAUUAGGGAAGAUAAAAGACAGUACCUAAGGAGGAAGCUCCGGCUAACUACGUGCCAGCAGCCGCGGUAAUACGUAGGGAGCAAGCGUUAUCCGGAUUUAUUGGGUGUAAAGGGUGCGUAGACGGGAGAUUAAGUUAGUUGUGAAAGCCCUCGGCUUAACUGAGGAAUUGCAACUAAAACUGGUUUCUUGAGUGCAGGAGAGGUAAGUGGAAUUCCUAGUGUAGCGGUGAAAUGCGUAGAUAUUAGGAGGAACACCAGUGGCGAAGGCGACUUACUGGACUGUAACUGACGUUGAGGCACGAAAGUGUGGGGAGCAAACAGGAUUAGAUACCCUGGUAGU
rnacentral:rRNA from 1 species